AUACGGAGGGUGCAAGCGUUAAUCGGAAUUACUGGGCGUAAAGCGCGCGUAGGCGGUUUGGUAAGUCGGAUGUGAAAGCCCCGGGCUCAACCUGGGAAUUGCAUUCGAUACUGCCUGACUAGAGUAUGGUAGAGGGAAGUGGAAUUCCGGGUGUAGCGGUGAAAUGCGUAGAUAUCCGGAGGAACACCAGUGGCGAAGGCGACUUCCUGGACCAAUACUGACGCUGAGGUGCGAAAGCGUGGGGAGCAAACAGGAUUAGAUACCCUAGUAGUCC
rnacentral:rRNA from 1 species